rnacentral:misc_RNA from 1 species
GUAGGAGCUGCCGAAGGCUGCGAUCUUUUGAUCCUGUUUUUAACAAUCAACAUCAAAAGAUCGCAGCCUUCGGCAGCUCCUAC